rnacentral:rRNA from 1 species
CAAGUGAGCAACCUGCCCUUGANUNUGGAAUAACAGCUGGAAACAGCUGCUAAUACUGGAUACGACUUCCUGCGGCUUCGCAGGAGGUGGAAAGCUCCGGCGGUCAAGGAUGGGCUCGCGGCCUAUCAGCUAGUUGGUGAGGUAACGGCUCACCAAGGCUUNGACGGGUAGCCGGCCUGAGAGGGCGACCGGCCACACUGGGACUGAGAUACGGCCCAGACUCCUACGGGAGGCAGCAGUGGGGAAUAUUGCACAAUGGGCGCAAGCCUGAUGCAGCAACGCCGCGUGCGGGAUGACGGCCUUCGGGUUGUAAACCGCUUUCAGUUCCGACGAAGCGCAAGUGACGGUAG